CCGAUAAAGUGAUGGCGUAUAAAAUUACGACGCGAUAACGCUCAUUUUUAUUUUUACCGUCAAAUAAAUCCCAGUAUAAUGACAGACCUCGUAUCUGCAAAUUGUUGAGCCUUUUACUUAUUUAUAAACCUGAAAAUUUGUCAGAAAAUAAGGUACACUUGAUACAUCGGAGCAAGAUUUCUGGUAGAAAAGUUUGCACAACAAAUCGAAGGAUAUUUUUCUAUUGAAAUAGUCCAAGAAAGCGAUG